rnacentral:rRNA from 1 species
UACGUAGGUGGCGAGCGUUGUCCGGAUUUAUUGGGCGUAAAGGGCGCGCAGGUGGUGCGGUAAGACUGCCGUGAAAUCUCCUGGCUCAACUGGGAGGGUGCGGUGGAGACUGCCGGACUAGAGGCACUCAGAGGCCGGUGGAAUUCCCGGUGUAGUGGUGAAAUGCGUAGAGAUCGGGAGGAACACCAGUGGCGAAGGCGGCCGGCUGGGGGUGACCUGACGCUGAGGCGCGAAAGCGUGGGGAGCGAACCGG